GUCACUGAUCCAAAGGUAGUCAAGUUUGCACAGAGCAGGGGGACCCAACAAGCAAGCAAGCAAGCUUGGACACCAGGAGGACUGAGAAAAGACAGAACUGAGAGUAAAGGGGUGAGGCAGUGAAGUCCGUGUAAACUCUGAGCCGCUCAAGUGGCUGGAAGGUUGAGCAGCAGAUAGGAUGGCGUACCGACUGGCGGGCUGCUUUCAGAACCAACUCAGAGCCACUAAGGCAAUUCCGCAAACAUUCACUGAAUGCCUUACGGUAACGGUUGUCAAAUCAAGGCAAACUUCAAGAAGACAAGCCUGGCAACAAAGAUGUAUAAAGCAUACAACACAUAUAACACUGAUUCCUGGAGGAGAUGGGAAGGACACCCUUUUUCUUUCCAAACAUAGAGCCUCUCUUGUCACAGGGAGACUGAGGCUAUGGUCACUGCUUGUGGCCUGCCAGGAAGUCCUAGACAAAGAAUCGGUUUCAGGUAUAUUGCUUACCUUGGGCUCUACAGAUUCUGCAUAGUGAAUGGGGUAAAACACGAAGAUGCGUGGAUGAGCUUCCCUGCUAAAAAGGACCAGCCCUCCUUGAAAUGGAUUCCUUUCCAUUCCCACACUCUGCAAUAUUGUGAUUGAGUCAUGCAGCAAUUAAAGAGAAAAAUGUCACUAUUGUGCUUCCAAAUAUAUUAUUUAAUUUUCACAAAACAAAUCAAACUCUUGGUCUUGAAUGCUGAGAGAAGAAUAUAAAUGGAACCACAAAUCUCUAACAUUUCAUGUUAACGCAAUAGUUCAAUAAGAGAGAAGUUGAAUUUCCUUUCACAAAUGUUUAUUGAGCACCUACUAGCUUCAGGGCAUACACAAAAUAAAUACUACCUGGUCCUUGUCGUACACGAACUCAUGGUCUCUACUUUGAAUCACACUCUUUCGAAAUACAAUAUCUAUUGGAUCAAGAGAAAAGCUUUUAUAGUGAUUUUUACAAAGAAAUAAAGCAGAAGCAAUUAUACUUAAUUUAGGAAUACUGGAUAUUCACAGAUGAACACGUUUUCAAGCACACAAACCCCCAGAUUUUUGUCUCUAGUAGAGCCUAAAAGGAGUUCUACAGAUCAAGAAGAUGGGAUUUAUGCUCAGACAGGCCCAGAUUGAAAGCCUAGCUCAUCUCCUCACUAGUGGUGUGAUAUUUGGCAAGAUACGUAGCUUCUCAGUUUCCUCGUCUAUAACAUGGGACUCAUGGUACUGACCUCAUGGAGUUGCUGUAAGGAUAAAAUGAGAUCAUGCAUUUAGGCUGAGAGUUUGGCUGUUGUAGGUGCUCUACAAUUGCCCCUUUCCCUUUUUAACUGGGAUCAUUGAAAAGCAAGCAGUUAGAUGGUUGAAAAUGUGCAAUUGUUUGUGUCUUCCUUUUUAAAAAGGAGCUAAUACCAGCUCCAUGUUUUGGAACUGAUGCCUACAAUGUGUUUCAUGUCUUUCUGUCUUCAGAGAGAAUAACUCGUCAUUUGAUAGCGUAAUCCUCUGAUUCUCUGGGUCACACCAGCCUGAGGCAGAACAGCAAUAGCAAUAGCUCAGUGACAGAAGAGACACUGCCCCUGCUUGUAUUGAGGGAAACACUCAUCCUAAAAUCAUCCACGUGGUGCUGCAGUUUCUAAGUUUUAUCAUGAUGCAGUUCACCGAGUGCCUGUUGGGUGCUACUGAGGAUAAAGUGGCAAAAAAAAAAAAAAAAAAAAAAAAAAAAAAAAAAAAAAACCAUGCAGCCCUUGUUCUCAAAGCACUUGUACCUGGGUUGCUAAGCCACGUGACCACACAGGUGCAUGUUGGUAAUCAUUUGACUGCAACUUCUUGCAACUGUGGCAGGUCUUAAGAAGAAGGUGUCCAUGGUGUUAUAGGAAUCUUAAAUAGGGAAUUCAUCUUAGGCAGGGAGGUGAGAAGGCGAUACUUGAGCUGAGUAGAAGGCCAGGAAGAAUGAAAAGGAAGAGGAGAGGGAAAGCAUUCUGGUCAAAAGAACCAAAGGAGGCAAGUGCCUGGGGCUGGAGUGCAAAGAAUGGUGAGGUUGGCACCAUGCACAGCCUGCUGGGCCUCACUGAGUUUUCUGGGCUUAACUUAGGAGCAAUAAAAAUCUCCCAAAGAGCUUUGUGUAGGGAAUUGGUAUGAGUAGGUUGGAACGAUCACUAAUGUUGGAAACUGAAAGACAGUUGUGUAAACCUAUUAGAGGGAAUUAUGAGUAUCUCGAGAAGAUUUAAUGGUGGCUUGGACAGGGUGGUGGUAGAAGUUGAUGGAGGGAAUUUUAUAGAUUUUAGGUUUAUUUGGGGGAUGAAAAUGAUAGGAGCUUGAAGAUGGUUUGUAUGGAAUUGGGGAGGAGGAAGCCAGGUUGAAAGGUGAGAAAGCCUUGAGAGAUUCCUAGAAUUCCACCUUGAAAGAUGGAUGAGAGGGGACGGGAGGGAGGGGGGUCACUGAGCUGGGGAACACUGGAAGGCACUGGGUACGUGGAAAGAUCAUGAGUUCUGUUUUGGGUGUUUGAUCUUGAGGCUGCCAUUGAGAAAUAUGAAAGAUGUUGAGGAGCAAUUUCGAUUCUUGGAUCUGGAGCUCAGAGAAGCCUGGAAUAGGUGUAACAGAAACCAUUAUUUUGUUUGGAGGAGGUCCUUAGAAACACCCUGAGAUGAGGGGUCAUGUACAAGUUACUUAUUAAGGCUGUGUUCCCCUGGGAGACUGGUCAGGGAGUGGGGAGUGGAGCAGGCGAAGGGAAGAAGCUGAGCACAGGGUUAUCUCAGGGUAAGGUGUUA
ensembl:lincRNA